UUGGUGUUGUCCUCGUUGUUGUUGUUCUUGUUGUUAUUUUUAUUGUUAUUGUUUUCGUUGUCGUUGUUGUUGUUAUUCUCGUUGUUGUUGUUGUUGUUGUUAUCGUUGUUGUUGUUGUUGUUGUCGGUGCUGUUGGUGUUGGUGGUGAUGGAUUUAUUGUUGUUUUCUUUGUUGCUAUUGUUGGUGGUGUUGUUGUUCUAGUUGUCAUUUUUGUUGUUGUUUUGGAUGUUGU
rnacentral:lncRNA from 1 species